CCGAGUGAGGGCCCCCGGGCUCGACCUCCCACCCCUUGACAGACCUCCGGCUUGCCUCGGGGGUGACCCGGCUCCGCGGAAUGCGAUGGCCGGGCGCCCCCGGAGGUAUCCCCCACUCUGCGUCCUUGCGUCGGAGUCGAAUCGAAAAUUGAAUAA
rnacentral:misc_RNA from 1 species